UAGAACGAUCUAGCAUUUUCAUUACAAUCGCUUCUGUUGUGCCAGUGUCCUUUGUGAUCUUAUCCAAUUCGCAGUUUUAAAAUACGCAGAAUUAAUACAUCAAAGGACAUACUUCAACAUUAUGAAAUAUGCCUACAUGGACGCUGAAGAAAACGGAAAGGCCCUUGGACUCAUGAAGGUUUUGAGAACAAACUGUGCAUUAUACGUCACAAUAAUCUAUAGCGGUAUUCAAUGGUUUGGUUGUAAUAAUUGAAAUAUGAAUUAAC